CAGAGGGGAAGGACCGGUGGGAUGUGGAAUAGACAUGAGCAACACAUCUCGAAGAACACCAGUUACGGAAAAGGUAACUGUCUUUUCUUCGAGUGAUUGCUCAUGUGUAUGACACAAUAGAUGAUUCCAAGCUAUAUUUAUUGGAGGUGGGAGGAGUUCACAGAUCUCCAGGACGGAGUACGGCCCUGCCGAACCCGGUGUCAUCCCUGGUUUGGGAGAAAAUCGCAUAGUGCGAGGUAAACGUGUGAACCGAAGACCAAGUGGCAGCCCUACAAAUAUCCUGGAAAGGGACGUGAGCCACAAAGGCAGCCAAUGAGGCCUGGGCCCAAGUCGAGUGUUCCUUUACGAUUGGUGGCGGGGGAACACCCACCAGAUCAUAACAGGUGCGAAUGCACGAGGUGAUCAAGUGGGAGAGGCACUGGGUGGAAAACGACCAACCUCGCAUGUGUUCAGCUGAGGCAACAAACAGUUGAGAGGACUUCCUGAAUGGCUUCCAGGUAGAAGGCCAGCGACCUACACAUGUCGAGCGUGUAGAGGCGGCGUUCCUCACUGGGCUCGUGCAGCUUGGGGCAGAGGACAGGCAGGAAAAUGUCCUGGCCCAAGUGAUAGACAGAGACCACCUUAGGGAGGAACGCGGGGUGUGGGCAGAUCUGAACCUUAUCCUUAUGAAAAACCGUAUACGGGGGUUUGGAGGUCAGGGCCCUGAGCUCCGAGACCCGCCUGGCUGACGCAUAGCAACCAGAAAGGCCACCUUCCACAAGAGGUGAGACCAGGAGAACGUGGCCAGAGGUUCAAACGGGGGCCCCGUGAGACGGGAUAACACCAAGUUCAGGGGGCCUAGCAUACGGAAAAAGACGGUCCAAUCCAGUGAUGAGCUGCCAGAAGAUGAAGAACCGGUUCCUUUAGUUGCUCUGUGCCUUCGGCGGCAAUUCGGCGGCAUGUCCUUCACUUGCUAUGGGUCUUCGGCGGCACUGAAGCACCCGCCGCUGAAGUGCCGCCAAAGACCCGGAGCAAGUGAAAGAUGUGCCGCCGAAUUGCCACUGAAGGUACGGAGCGACUAAAGGGCCUGCCGCCAAAGUGCUGCCGAAGGCCUGCCAUGCUGCCGGAUGAGUAAAAAUUCUUCAGGGGAGCCUCCCCAGCCGAGAGCUCAUGCGGGACAGACAGGAUGGGAGCUCAGGCGGGACAGCCACCCCUUUAACAACCGGUUCUAAACCGGCUUCAAAAUUUAACAACCAGUUCACGCGAACCAGUGCGAACCAGCUCCAGCUCACCACUGGUCCAAUCCCUUCAGGAAUCGUCCAGUCAUAGCAUGGGAUAACACAGUGUGUCCCUGCACCAACGGAUGGAAGGCCGAUAUGGCCACCAGGUGCACCCUGACCGACGAGGGCACCAGACCCUGGGCUCUAAGGUGAAGGAGAUAGUCCAGGAUAAGCUGGAUCGGGGCAGCCACUGGGGAAACACCCUGCUUGGCGGCCCAUCUGGAGAACUGGGACCACUUCGCCAAGUAGGCACGGCGAGUGGAGGGCUGCCUACUUUCCAGAAGGACAUGCUGGACCCCCUCCUAACAUGUCCGCUCCUCCCUGCCUUGCCAUUGAGCAGCCACACUGUGAGGUGGAGAGCCACUAGGUUGGAGUGGAGGAAGCGGCCCCGGUCCUGGGAGAGCAGGUCUGGGUGGAGUGGCAACGAUUGCGGCGGAGCCACUGCCAGGCCCAUGAGGGUCCCGUACCAAUGCUGCCGGGGCCAUGACGGGGCAAUCAGGAGAACCCGUGCCUUGUUCAUUUUUACUUUCUCCAGGACCCUGCUGAUGAGAGGGAACGGGGGGAAGGCAUAGAGAAACUGGUCCGACCAGGACAGGAGGAAGACAUCGGAGAUAGCGCCCUUUUCCAGACCCUCCCUCCCCCGAGCAGAACCAGGGACAGCGCCGGUUCUAUCUCGUCAUGAAUAGGUCCACCUGGGGAGUUCCCCACACUCAGAAGAGCUGGCCCAAGGCAGCACAUGUGGACAGCAGAAGCAUCACAUGAUCCAGCACCUGCGACCUGGAGCUGCCCUUGACCAUCCAAUCGACCAGAGCCUUGCUGUCAAACAGGAGAUCCUGCAUGACUGACUGUGCCUCACUGGACAGCCCGGACAGCAGGAGCCAUGACGCCCUUCUCAUGGACACUGCCGAGGCCAUGGAUCGAGCUGCCGUGUCCGCCGCAUCUGACACCACUUGCAGGGAUGCCCUGGUAGCAGCUGCACCCUCCUCCACCAGCACCUUGAACUCUUUCUUAUUGCACUCCUGGAGGGAGUCCUCGAAUUUGGACAGCGAACCCCACAAGCUGAAUUCAUAUCUGCCCAGGAGAGCCUGGUGGUUUGCCACCCGCAACUGGAAACUUGAGGAUGAAUAAACCU